GCGAACACUGGCGGCGUGCUUAACACAUGCAAGUCGAACGAGUGUAGCAAUACAUUCGUGGCGAACGGGUGCGUAACACGUGGAUAACCUUCCUUGAGGUGGGGAAUAACCCCGCGAAAGCGGGGCUAAUACCGCAUAACAAAGCGAUGGCACAUGCUGUUGCUUUCAAAGGAGCAAUUCGCCACAAGAGGGAUCCGCGGCCGAUUAGCUAGUUGGUGAGGGUAACGGCUCACCAAGGCUAUGAUCGGUAGCCGGACUGAGAGGUUGGCCGGCCACACUGGAACUGAGACACGGUCCAGACUCCUACGGGAGGGCAGCAGUGGGGAAUCUUGCACAAUGGGCGAAAGCCUGAUGCAGCAACGCCGCGUGGGGGAUGAAGCUUCUCGGAGUGUAAACCCCUUUCGACCCGGACGAAUGCCCGCAAGGGUUUGACGGUACGGGUAUAAGAAGCCCCGGCUAACUACGUGCCAGCAGCCGCGGUAAGACGUAGGGGGCCAGCGUUGCUCGGAAUUACUGGGCGUAAAGGGUCCGUAGGCGGUGCGGUAAGUCGGGAGUGAAAUCUCUGGGCUUAACUCAGAGGCUGCUUCCGAAACUACCGUGCUAGAGUGCGAGAGAGGCAAGUGGAAUUGCGGGUGUGUAGCGGUGAAAUGCGUAGAUAUCCGCAGGAACAUCCGAGGCGGAAAGCGGCUUGCUGGAUCGCAACUGACGCUGAGGGACGAAAGCUAGGGGAGCAAACAGGAUUAGACACCCUGGUAGUCCUAGCCCUAAACCAUCAGGACUUGGGGUUUGCCCUGUACGGGGCAAGUCCCGGAGCUAACGCGUUAAGUCCUGCGCCUGGGGAGUACGGUCGCAAGACUGAAACUCAAAGGAAUUGACGGGGGCCCGCACAAGCGGGUGGAACAUGUGGUUCAAUUCGACGCAACGCGAAGAACCUUACCUGGGCUUGAACCGCACAGGACCCUCCCUGGAAACAGGGACUUCCCGCAAGGGACCUGUGUAGAGGUGCUGCAUGGCUGUCGUCAGCUCGUGCCGUGAGGUGUUGGGUUAAGUCCCGCAACGAGCGCAACCCUUACUCAUAGUUGCUACCCGCAAGGGAGAACUCUAUGAGGACUGCUCCGGAUAACGGAGAGGAAGGUGGGGAUGAGGUCAAGUCAGCAUGGCCUUUAUGUCCAGGGCUACACACGUGUUACAAUGCGCGCCACAAAGUGUCGCGAACCCGCGAGGGGGAGCUAAUCGCAAAAAAGCGCGCUCAGUUCGGAUUGCAGUCUGCAACUCGACUGCAUGAAGCCGGAAUCGCUAGUAAUGGCGUAUCAGAUCGACGCCGUGAAUACGUUCCCGGGCCUUGUACACACCGCCCGUCACAUCACGAAAGUGGGUUGUACUAGAAGUCGUCGUGCCAACCGCAAGGGGGCAGAUGCCCAAGGUAUGACUCAUGAUUGGGGUG
rnacentral:rRNA from 1 species